rnacentral:tRNA from 1 species
GCAUCAAUGGGGUAGUGGUAACCUGGGUCGUUGCCAUUCGAGCUACAAUUUCGAUUCUGUCUCGACCCGCCGGGGGUUCGAUUCCCUCUUGAUGCA